UUGUUUAGGACCUGCUUCUUAUUAAUUUUGCAGUAAGAACCUCAUCUGGGAAGAUGCUGAGCAUCUCCAGAGAGGUAAUCAGCACUCUCAACUUCUAUUGAUGUCAUUAGGACGUGAGGGUUCUCAGCAUCUUCAGGAUCAGGCCCUGUGUCAAAAAGUACUCUGGCUAAGCAAUACUCCUAUAGUUAUUGUAUUCUUCUCUAAUUUUGAUCUUAAUUGGUGGCAAUGGCUCCUCUGACCAGGGCCAAUCUUUGUAAAUACAAAGGGUCUUGGUUGUAGAUAUUUAAAGAAAUUUGAUCUUUGAAACUUGUAUUGUCCCUGCAGUUCAAAGGGUUUGGAGAUUUCAGAAUUGCUUCAAGGAACACAAGUAUUUCCUCUGACCACCCAUUCCUUGCAGCUCAAUGGGAAUUCAGGGGUCUGUUGCAGCUUGCACUUUUGAGCACCACUAUUAUGCUUGUAGGUAUUCAUGGCAGAAAUCAGUUGACCAGAAGAAUUCACCCACCAUGCUCUUCACGAAUAAACUGUGAGGUUUGGAAUGACUGCAGUAGCAGGAGAAAGAUACAUAACUAAUAGCUCUGAAGCUAAAAGGUCAUAAUAUCUAUGGCUAUAGCUCAGUCUCACAAAAUGUAUGUGGAGGGCCACACGGGACCACAGACCUGCCCAAAAUAUAUUUUUAAGCUUGAGCAGAGUCACUGAGGCCUAUGUAGAUAUUUUUCUAGAGCUGCUGCCUCACAUAGCUACCUGAACUCCUGAUGCAGCCUCAUACAGUACCCCAGGCUCUCCUCCAUUCCCUCAUGGGCAGGCACUGCCCACUUAUUAGUCCCUCCAUCAGCACACUGGGAGUGGGUGGUGCCUGUAUCCAUAGAGGAGCAUAGUAUAGCAGAGCUGGGAGUUGCGGCAGCCUGGGCAGUAGAAGAUGUGUGGGUGGGGAGGGUGGCAGGCUCCUCCUAAGAGCUGGGAGGGGGCCAGAAGCAACAGGGGAUGUGGACCCUCCUCCACUGGCCACCCAGCAUAGGGUGACCAGGUGUCUGGUUUUCAACCAGAACACCCAGUCGAAAAGGGAUCCUGGUGGCUUACCACUGACCAGGCCAUUGACUGUCCAGUUGGCGGCACUCCGCAGGGGUUGGCAGGCUCUUUGCUGGCCACUGGGCAGGGUGGCUCCCAGGAAGCAGCCGGCACGUCCAUCUCCUAUGCUUAGGGGCAAUCAGAGGGGUCCAGGUGCAGCCCCUCCUGCAGGCGCAACUCCCAUUGGCCGGGUCAGGGCAGGGGAUGAACUAGUGCAACUUGCAAGAGCUCAGCAGGCAGCUAUUGAGGGGUUGUGGUGCAGGUCUCUCCCACUGCUGCCAGCCCCCUUCUUCUCCUCAGCCACAGAGGAGUGCAGCCUCAAGCUGCAGUGCGUGCUCUGCGGUGAACCGUGGUCCAUUGCCCGCACCUAGAAGUUCAAGGUAUGUAUUCCCGUUUCUGAGUGCUGGGAAUGGGGCUGCUGGAGGGGAUAGGAGGAGAACGAGAUGAACCCAGCACCCGGCCCAGCCACCUCGCAGGGUGGGGGCGAGCCUGGCCCAGCAGCACUGCCCCAGCACCUCCUCCGCCCCAGUAGCGCUGCCCCCCAAUCUGGGACAGUCCUCCGAGUCCGCCGCUGGCUCCAGCAGCCACGGACUCUGGGCAACUCCCUCCCCGCAGCCUUGCCCCCUAUCAUUGCAUCCCUGCCUGUCCCAUCCCCCCUGCACCCUCAUCCCCCCCACCCUCCCAUCCUUGCAGCCGUCCCAUCCCAUGCUGUCUCCCCACACCUACCCAUCCAAGCUCAACCAGCAGCCAGGGGCACAGAGCAGAAACCCCUCAAUGCCAGGUGUCCAGCCUUUGGCCUCUUUGCUCUGGGGCCCAAUCUUCACGCCCAUCACAGCAGCACUGCAGCCCCCUGGGCGAGGGGCCUGUGGGCACAGGAUGUCUCCUGCAGCUGGGGUGACCAGGUGUCCAGUUUCCAUCUCCCACUUUCAAACUGUUGCAGCUCCUGGCCUUCUCCUGGUUCCUGUUUGGGCCUUGCAGUGAAAAUAAGUACGUGAGCGAGGGAGUGGGGGAUGGAGUGAGCAGGGAUGGGGCAGGAGACAGGUUAAGAGUGUUCAGUUUUCUCGAAUUAGAAAGUUGGCAGCCCUAACCAAGCACCUUGUAUGGACAGGCUCUGAGCCAGGCCAACAGGGAGGGACAGGACAGGGCUGGCUGGGCAGAGGCUGCACCCCCAGAAAGACUAUACUCCCCACUGAAUCUCACUAUACCACCAGCCCUGUAUCCCCAGAAUUUGAGGGACCCUGAAUCUCACUGCACCCUGUCCCUAGAAAGACUCCCAACUCCAGUGAAUCUCACUGUACCCCCAUUCUCAGAAGACCCUCCCGUUUUGAUGUGGAUGUCAAAGGCACCUGCAAAGCAUUAAACGUGGCGUGGAAUGGCCCAUUAAGGGCACUAAACACUGGCCUGAAUACACCAUUCAGGGCAGUCAGUGGGGCCUUGGAUAUACUUUUGUGAUACUAACCAGAGAAGCCUCGUGACCCAUGAUAUACGAAAGGAGUGAGAAGGGGGGAAAAUAGUCAUAAAGAAAAAAUAGGGCUCUUUAUGGCUUCCUAAUGAUCCCAAGCCCAGUUCCACUGGAACCCUUUGAACUCUGCUUCACGUGGCCUUGAUUGGGAAGAUUCUUUUCAAUAUUUGACCCUUUCUUCUUUGCCAUUUUGUUGGUGACUGUAUCUUAAAUCUUUGGGAUACUCAACGGAAAAGAAAUAUGUGGACAAUAUGGUCCUGACUAUAACACCCCUUUAUUGAGCUACAGUUGUGAUGCAUGAAAUCAUUGCAAAAUAAUAAAAAAAUGGUUGGAAGACAAAUACCAUAGAUACAGUCCCUAGAAACCACCACUCACUUUAAUUGAGAGCAGCUGCAAUAUUGCAAAAGCACUGCAAAGGUUGCAGUUCAUAUUUUCCCUCCCUGGCUUUUCUAAGGGAGCAAAAAUCCAUUUAGACCAUAUAUAUUCGGGACUGUUUUUGUGUGCAUUUUUUUUUAAAUUGCUCACAAUCCGUUUAGAUCAUAGAGGGUCUACAGCUUGAGGAGCAAUGUCUCUGCCAUCCUCUCUAUUUUUAUGCUUGCAAAAUUAUACAUGCAGUGUUUUGUGCCUAUAAAAUCUCCAGUCAAAUGCACAAAUGGGCAUCUGCCAACCCAGAUCGGUGCGUGUCUGUCUAACUAUUCAACUUUCACAGGCAAAAUGUGUGUGCACAAAUAGAAUAUUACUGUAGAAAUAAAAUAGACCAGAAAAUGUUUAUUUUCUAUCUCCCUUUUUAGAGUCUUGUUUAAAGAUGGAUUUUAAUGUUAUCCCGUUAUUAUUACCUCUGGGAAAAAAAACGUGAAAUUAGACAGUUCUCCCCAUGCUCAUAUCUGUAGUAAAGCAAUUGUUAGAGCAAGGAGAGAGUUAAAACCUGGUGUUCUUCACUCUCACCAAUGCCUUGAUCUGGGACUACAACAUCUCCCUGUGCCAAAGUGGUCAACUGCAAAAAUAUUCCUGUGUGUAUAUCUGGAAACGUGAAACAAUUACUGAGAAACAAGUAUUCAACAAACAACUUAAGCAGCCCAGGUGCACAACUUACACUCAUAACAAUGCUAGAAAAAUAAACCAUUUAAUUCUCCUUAAAACCCAGUCAGAUGAUCUUCCACUUAGCCUUUUGGACAGCAACAGAGCUGGCUUUGCAUACCUGGCACUGCCACCCCUAAAGACCAAAUAAAAUGGGUGCAGCUCUGGGGGUGGUGGUGGAGGGUGGUCUAUCUAAUUUUCUUUAUACACACAAAAGCCCUCAAAGGAAACACCAGCCACAUCCUGCCAAUCGAUAGUUCGGGUAGUUAGUCUGAGGCAGUUUUUCUAUUGUAUUUAAGUUUAAAAAAAGGUACAGAUACCAAUUUGUAGAAGGCUAUUGGCGACAGUGCAGAAGAAAUAUCCUACUGCAGCUUAGCUUACAGAUUGAUCCCUGUAGUUUUGGGCAUGGCUGUAACUACCUCAUCAGACCUGUGCCAAGUUUCUCUCUUUCUUAAAUAAGAAAAGAAAAAAGGAAUUUCAUUUUGUUUUCAAAUCUAGGGCUCCUCCAUCCAAGGAUCGCGAAGCACUUUAUAAACACGAAUGAAUUCUGCCUCAUGCCAUCCUGAUAAGGGAGAGCAAUAGUACUAUUCCCUUUUUACAGGUGGGGAAACUGAGGCAGAGAGAAGCUAGGCGACUUGCCCAAGGCCACAUAGGAACCGUGUGGCAGAGUUGGAAAAGGACCCCAGAUCUCCCUGACUCUCCAAAAUCAUGAUUGGUGUGGAGAAAGUAAAUAAGGAAGUGUUAUUUACUCCUUCUCAUAACACAAGAACUAGGGGUCAAUGAAAUUAAUGAAAUUAAU